rnacentral:rRNA from 1 species
UGGGGAAUAUUGCACAAUGGAGGGAACUCUGAUGCAGCGACGCCGCGUGAGUGAUGAAGGAAUUCGUUUCGUAAAACUCUGUUCUAUGGGAAGAAAAGGACUGUACCAUAGGAGAAAGCUCCUGCUAAAUACGUGCCAGCAGCCGCGGUAAUACGUAUGGAGCGAGCGUUGUCCGGAAUUAUUGGGCGUAAAGGGUGCGCAGGCGGCUUUACAAGUUGGAUGUGAAAUAUUGUGGCUCAACCACAAACGUGCAUCCAAAACUGCAAAGCUUGAGUUAAGGAGAGGUAAGUGGAAUUCCUGGUGUAGCGGUGGAAUGCGUAGAUAUCAGGAGGAAUACCGGUGGCGAAGGCGACUUACUGGACUUAAACUGACGCUCAGGCACGAAAGCGUGGGGAGCAAACAGG